CAUAAAAAAACAAACUUCCAUUAAUGUGACAAAGAGACGAUGAAGAAAUGAAACGGUAAACCAGGAGUUAGGGGUCAAAUCCAAACAUGGAGGCAUUUAUCAGCUGGAUCCUGGAUGGGAGCAUUAAACCAGCAGCUGUUUAAAACUGAGCAGCUCCUUUGAUCCAGGAGACGUCAUUACAUUUGCAUUCUUCUUCUUUUGUUUUUUGGAUUUUAACAAACAGAUUUCUAAAAUAAACCUGGAAGGAUUGACAUCACAAAAAGCAGCAUAUUUUCCUUCCUGGAGAGCAACCUGCUUCCUUGACAAGUACAAAAGACUCUGCAACGCAGUGUCUGCAAGAUCAUUAAAGCCACUGAUGAGACAAUUUCAGGCCAAGGACUGAUGACUCUGAUGGCAAUGCCUCAAGUGAGUACUCAUGAAUACAUAUUGGCUAUUUACUUCACUGUCAGUGCAACACGAAGCGCACAAAACAACCGCCACAUUCAGGGAAGAGAUCCAGCAAAUGAGAGGAAGAAGAAAAAGAAGAAGAAGAAGAGAUCUGUGAAUUGGGAGAAGAGCCACACUCGCACAGAUCUCUUUAAGGACGUGGAAGAACAUACUAAUUAUCCCCCCCUUUCAAGUCAUCAUGCUGCACAAGGCGUAAUUUGUUUCCCAUUACACCCUGGAUUUAAUCAAGUCAGCCAAACAGAGGGAGGACCAGGGGAGCAGCAGGCGGAGAGACGCGGCAGGGUCACCGGUGAGAGACAAACCCAUCAGCGGAGACCCGGGUUCAUCGAUGAUUCAGUCUGAAUACACGUUUAACCCCUUCAGGCCUGAAUCCACUGGAAUGGACGUUUACAGGCCUUUUUCCUUACUUUCUUCUGGGUUACUAUUACAAAUAUUAGCAGCUUAUUAUUAUCAUACCAUCAUUAUUAUCACUUUUUUCUUAGUUUUAAAAAAAUUGUAUUCAUUUUUAUGUAGCAGAGAUUAGGAAGAAUUUAUAGGCAUACAUUUGCAAGGAGUUGGUAAUUAUUCUGACUAUGUAUGAGUGAGUAUUCAGCCGUAUUCUUAUAGAAGAAUACGGCUGGAUCGAGGCUUACUAAAAGGGCCGAAGGAUUAAAUUGGGUGUUUCCUGUCGACCGCUCGACGGUCAGGUUUUUUCCCACCCCCUGUGUCACGUCAGGAUGGCGAGCUACCGGAUCACCGCAGCUUCGCGGUAGGAUUUAAAUGAACCAAGCUAUUUUUUCAUUCUGGACCUAUUUGCUCUGGAUCAUGGAAAAAAAA